GACAGAAGCACACAGCCCUGCUGCAGCCUGCACCGCGUUGAGGUCCCUGAGCAGUUCACUCGGGCCAGCAGGAGCAUAGAGAGUGGCUGGGGAAGAGGCAGCUGGCAGCGGAGUGCCGAGAUCAGUGGAGCAAAAGGACCUGGAGCUAGAGGAGGGAACACAGCAAGGAGCUUACCACCUAGUCGUGGAGACAGACAGAGGGUACGGCCUCAUGGAGUUCCAAGAGUUUGAAUUUCAAGGCAGAGUUAGUUGUGUUUUGCUUUAACUAACAUUUUUGGAUGAAAUCAAUGAGAAUAGCUUCAGAAGGUAAGUGAAAGAACUGAAGAACACAAGGAGCCCUUCUCUGGAAUAGCAUUUCAGCAAUUACACCUAAAAUACUAGACAGUUGGGAUAUGUAAACUCUUCCAGAACUUUUUCCAUUAGAUCCUAUACAGGUAAGUGGGGAAGAACACGGACAACAAUUAACUCUCAUGACCAAGAACUGGAACAAGAUUGGGUAGAUUUUGAUAGAGAUUGUAGGCAGUAAGGACAUGAAGCCUUGGUUUCCUAUGAACAGUCCAGUUGGGAGUCUGCUGAGCUAACUUGUGGGGGUUGCUAAAAUAGAAUGAGGCCAUUCAGUAACUGAAAAUCUGGAAAGAAGAACCAAAAAAGCAAGUGGAUGAUGUUCCAGA
rnacentral:lncRNA from 1 species